GCCACCAUAGCUCAAGGGUAGAAGGACUGGUCUCGUAAACCAGGGUCGCGAGUUCGAAUCUCCUUUGGUGGCU